rnacentral:tRNA from 1 species
CAAACUAUUCUUAGUAGUUAAGGUUUUCAUUUACACUGGAAUUGUGGUCGUGCGAUUCGACAUAGUUUGA